UACGUAGGGUGCAAGCGUUGUCCGGAAUUAUUGGGCGUAAAGAGCUCGUAGGCGGUUUGUCGCGUCUGCUGUGAAAACGCGAGGCUCAACCUCGCGCCUGCAGUGGGUACGGGCAGACUAGAGUGCGGUAGGGGAGAUUGGAAUUCCUGGUGUAGCGGUGGAAUGCGCAGAUAUCAGGAGGAACACCGAUGGCGAAGGCAGAUCUCUGGGCCGUUACUGACGCUGAGGAGCGAAAGCGUGGGGAGCGAACGGG
rnacentral:rRNA from 1 species